rnacentral:misc_RNA from 1 species
AAGUCGUAACAAGGGACGCUGUAACGUUUUGCUGUAGGCCCACACGGCCGGCAAUCCAAGUGGUUGUACUUCGGUACCCUCACAUCGGCACACCACCGAUGAUAUGUCAAUUUCGCGAAUGGACUAAAAGCCUCGCACCAAAAACCGAACAACUGUUAACAAUGGAUAUCUUGGUUCUC